rnacentral:tRNA from 1 species
GGGCCCGUAGCGUAGUCAGGACAUCGCGGCGGUCUUCGGAACCGCAGGCCGUGGGACCGAAGCCCACCGGGCCCG